GAAAGAGAUUUAUAUACAUAUUAACGAUGGGCCUACUACAUAUUAGACCCAUUACGUGAAAUUUGUUUUUAUUAUCUGAACAGAUAAUCUUUAAUUGAACAAUCGAUGUCUGAUAAAAAAUAUAUAUAUACAGAUGUUAUAAAAAAAAUUAUUGUCGGUAUCGACGAUUCUUUUGCAAAAUUCUCACAGAUUCCAUAUAAUUCUUCUUUGUUUAUACUUUCUGGAGAUGUAAUUGUUAGAUCGAAAAAGAGAUUCGUUUUUAUUUUGUUUUAAGUGUUGUAAAUCUGUCGAUUCCGUUCUGAGGAUGGUUUUUUUAUUUUUGUUUCAAUAUCGUUUUGCAGAAAGAAUUGUGAAAUUGUGAAUUACAGAGGAAACUUCAGGUACUGAUUGAUCUUUUAUAUCUAAAUUACAUAGCACCUGAUACAUCUGAUUUCGUUUUUCUUUGAACACGUUAGCUAAAAAAUCAUUAUGUCUCUAUAAAAUUUCUGAUUACAGAUAUUAAAUUUAUUCAAUUUGGAAUCUAUAUUUUGUGAUGUUCAGUAUAUUUUGAAACGUGGAAAUAGAUCUAAUUAAUUUUGUUUAUAUAAUAGUUGCAGAUUGUUACAGACAUUCUUAUGUGUUUUCAAGAGUAGAGGACAUAGGAGAUAAGUUUUUAAACGAUUAUUAUAAAACAUCGCAACUUUCCAAAGAUAAUUCACUCAUGAUACAAAGCUCAAUGUCUGCAGGCUAAGUAUCAUUUUUGCGAGUCUAUUUCUUUUAGAGAAGUCUGAUUUGAUGUCAGUUUGGAGCAUUUGAGAUCUGUAAAUACAUAGAAUCAGCUGGGACUUGAAUUCAGAAGGAGAAAGGAUAUUUGGUGUUGGUUGAGGACUUUUUGAAAAAUCUAAAUGUUAAAGGAAUGGACAAUUUUCACUUGGAUCUUCCAAUUCGUCUUGAAAGUCCUCACGUCAGCAAUGGUGGUGAUACCGUGAUUUAGAGCCAUGAUUACGAAAUAGUAAAAAGAGAAGAAUGCUUUUAUGAAAGGUUAGUGUGUUUCUGAACUUUUACAUUAGGCGUCUAUUUAUAUGAGUUGAGGGAGGUAAGCAAAUUUUAGGUUUAGAGAAUUAAAUCAACAACCGUAUAAGGUAGAUGCUCGAAUUUAAGGGUAUAUUCUCGAUUUAAACAUAUCUCAAUAUCUAGUUUUUGAUAGAGUUUGGUAAUUGAAUUGUUUGUUAAGGUAAAUAAUUUGUUUAGAUAUAAAUUGGGAAAUCGUGAUUAUGAUAAAUUGAGCUAAAAAGAUUGUCGAGGAUUUGUUUGUUAUGGAAAUCUGUUUAAAUUUGUGUAGUUAUGGAUAUUGAAUGAAUAUGUUUGUUAUUGAAAUCUUUUUAAAUGUUAACUAACCAUUUUGUUUAUGUCUCAUUAAUAUCCGAGUAUCUCAAACAAUAUUGGGAUUAAUUGUGAGGCUGUGAUUGUCGGCGAAGCCCAUUAGACAACUACGAAGCCCAGCUCAAAUGUCAUCCAACCCAGUAAUAUUGAGAGAGAAUGUUAAUCGGAUCAUCCAACUCAGCAAAUAUAGAUCCGCGUGUUGUUUCGUUUGUAAUAUUAGAAGAUCCAAUUGAAGAUCCAAGAUCCGCAUGUUUCUUAAAUGAGAAAUUUUUUUUUUACCCUUUCACGUGAGAUUUUUUUGUUUCUUUGUAUCCAAAUUUUGCAAUGGCAUUUUUUGUAAAUAUUCUAC